GUCAUAAAUUCUUCCCUUUUCCAUAGAUCUGACAGGCAAAUUAUUCUAUGCUCCCCCAAUUUAACCACAGCAUCACCCUUUAUACCUAAAUCGCGUACCUAUUUUGACCUUAUCUUGGUAUACAGUGUACUGAUACAUUUUCUGAAGCUGAAGUUUAAACAUUUUGGCCACCUAAUGAGAAGAUAUCACUCACUGGAAAAGACUCAGAUGUUGGGAAAGAUUAAAGGCAAAGUUCAUUUAUUAACAAGUCUACCAGGCUUUGGGGGACACAAUGAUUAUUUCAUUUGGUCUUCACUCCAGCCCUGUGAGAGUCAUUGAAGUCCAGUGACAAGACAAAGGUCAAGACACUGGCAAUAGUCUAGGAUACAGUGGAUGAACUUUAGCAUCUUGGACAUCUGACCAAGCUCUAAGCACUCCACAGCACCUGCUAGUUGCCUUCAUGGCCACUGGAACAAAUUGUUCUCAUCUGCCCAUUUCGCCAGGGGAAGUCUCCACAUGCAAGGGGUAGAUAUCCCUCUAACUUACCAACAGGUUUGAGUCCCAUCAGUUACCUUCAGCCUGGUUUGCUAGUCUGCUGAGAUGCUUUCACCAGGGUAUGGCUGCUGCACGUGCUACAGCUUCUUGGAGCCACAGGCAGCUGUGAAGGAGGAAGAAGGAAGAGGAUAGGAAGAGACUGGAGAUCGUAAAGAGCAACAAAAGAGUUGAAAGUAUUAUCCUUUUUCCCCACACCUGGAGUACUGAUGUUGCCUUCAUUAUUAACUAUUUGACCUCAGGUGACCAAAACAUAAUCCCAAGAUGAAUUUGUUCAGCCUUGGAGGCAGCUUUCUGACUUUGAAAGAGCAGAGAAUCCCAAGUCCCUCAAUCACAGCUGACUGUCAACAGGAGGAGUGAUCUUCAGCUAUACCCUUCUUGGAGAAAUGGCACCAACAGGAAGUUGAGUCCAAUCCCUGACCUGGCUUGCCAAAAAAUAUUACUCUUGAAGAAGACAGUGCAGAGCUGUGUGUAAGGAAAAAUGCAUAUUGAGCAGGCCUACAAACUGCUUCGUGUUUUGAUGGUUUUAAAUCUCAACCUUCUGGUAAAGUGUAACAAUAGCUAGCUAUAAGUUAAUACUGCUUGUUUAAGAAUUUGGCAAUUUGUGGUGACCUCAGACAAACUGAGACCUGGGAAAGACUUAAAUUUAGAAAGGCCAAGGUCAUCUACUAUAUCUUGG